CCUACGGGGGGCAGCAGUUAGGAAUCUUCCCCAAUGGACGAAAGUCUGAGGGAGCGACGCCGCGUGAGGGAUGAAGGUUUUCGGAUCGUAAACCUCUGAAUCAGGGACGAAAGACGCGUAAGCGGGAUGACGGUACCUGAGUAAUAGCACCGGCUAACUCCGUGCCAGCAGCCGCGGUAAUACGGAGGGUGCAAGCGUUACCCGGAAUCACUGGGCGUAAAGGGCGUGUAGGCGGUACGCUAAGUCUGACUUUAAAGACCGGGGCUCAACCCCGGAAGUGGGUUGGAUACUGGCGUGCUGGACCUCUGGAGAGAGAACCGGAAUUCCUGGUGUAGCGGUGGAAUGCGUAGAUACCAGGAGGAACACCGAUGGCGAAGGCAGGUUCUUGGACAGAAGGUGACGCUGAGGCGC
rnacentral:rRNA from 1 species